UACGUAGGGUGCAAGCGUUAAUCGGAAUUACUGGGCGUAAAGCGUGCGCAGGCGGUUUGUAAGUCUGUCGUGAAAGCCCCGGGCUCAACCUGGGAAUUGCGAUGGAGACUGCAAGGCUUGAAUCUGGCAGAGGGGGGUAGAAUUCCACGUGGUAGCAGGUGAAAUGCGUAGAGAUGUGGAGGAACACCGAUGGCGAAGGCAGCCCCCUGGGUCAAGAUUGACGCUCGAUGACACGAAAGCGUGGGAGCAAACAGG
rnacentral:rRNA from 1 species